CUGAGAGGCAGAGAGCCAGCACAGUCUGCAGUUCUGCCGGGUGUGAGCUUCAGACUGUGCUGGCUCUCUGUCUCUCAG